GGAGAUGGCAGAGUGGUUUAUUGCGCUUGUCUGAAACACAAGUGAACGUUAAUUCUUUCCACGGGUUCGAAUCCCGUUCUCUCCG
rnacentral:tRNA from 1 species